AUGUCUAUGAAACGCAGAUGACCAAUAACCAUUUACCAUAUACCUAUAGGUGCGUUGUUGUGAUUCCUUUAUAAGAUCUAACUCUUUAUUUGUCGUUUGGAGUAUACUGAUGUGUAUCCCUGAAGCGGAAAAGGGAAAUCCCUUCAGUUUCGAUGACGUGUACUCAGAGUUCCGCUUCUGAACAAAGGGAGAUUUCUUCAGUUUCGGUGACGUGUAGUUAAGAUCUAGACUUAGGACCUUCGCCCGCUGUUUCACAGUAUACCGAGCAUUUCGCCUAGCAGAACAGUUGACGCCACGCACGCUUAACAAACUAUCAUCGGAGAGCGAUCAAAAUAUGGCUGUGUAUGGAAGACCGAGAAUGGACGACACCGAGUACCUCGCCGAAUUGGUUUUGAGCGUCAUCGUAUCUUUGGUCGUAUGCGCUGUGACCCGGAAUUUGGAUACUUACCAGGCUUAUUCUUUCACCAUGGUGGUGACUGUCGCGGUCUACAUACUUCUUCAGACAUCACCACACAUGUCCGGGCCUUGAAGUUGGUGAAAGGAGCUGUCCUGACGACGUGACUAGCCUUCUGGCUGUGGAAACAACUUCAGACUGGUGUUAUCUGUGGUUUGUGGACUGUUACGUUUAAAGAAAGGACAGUAAGAUAUGCCAAAGGUACCGGUGAAACCUUACCGAAGGUCAGGAAGGGGACGUGAAGCAAUAUGCCAAAGAAUGUGCUGACUUUAAAACUAGUUAUGUAAACAAUAUUGUUUAAUUCAACAUGUUGAUAUAUCCAUA